rnacentral:rRNA from 1 species
GAGUUUGAUCAUGGCUCAGGAUGAACGCUGGCGGCGUGCCUAACACAUGCAAGUCGAACGAAGCAUAUAGGAGGAAGUUUUCGGAUGGAAUUUUAUAUGACUUAGUGGCGGACGGGUGAGCAACGCGUGGAUAAUCUGCCUUACACAGCGGGAUAACAAGUGGAAACAGUUGCUAAUACCGCAUAAGCACACAGUAUCGCAUGAUACAGGGCGAAAAGAUUUAUCGGUGUAAGAUGAGUCCGCGUCCCAUUAGCUAGUUGGUGAGGUAAAAGCUUACCAAGGCGACGAUGGGUAGCCGGCCUGAGAGGGUGAACGGCCACAUUGGGACUGAGACACGGCCCAGACUCCUACGGGAGGCAGCAGUGGGGGAUAUUGCACAAUGGGCGAAAGCCUGAUGCAGCGACGCCGCGUGAAGGAUGAAGUAUUUCGGUAUGUAAACUUCUAUCAGCAGGGAAGAAAAUGACG